GAUGAAGAACGUAUCGAAAUGCGAUAAGUAAUGUGAAUUGCAGAGUUUUGUGAAUCAUCGAAUCUUUGAACGCACAUUGCGCCCCUUGGUAUUCCGAGGGGCAUGCCUGUUCGAGCGUCAUUAUAACCCCUCAAGCUCAGCUUGGUGUUGGGGCCUGCUGCACUGGCAGCCCUUAAAAUCAGUGGCGGCGCCAUCUGGCUCUAAGCGUAGUAAUUCUUCUCGCUAUGGAGUCCUGGUGGAUGCUUGCCAUCAACCCCCAAUUUUUCUAUGGUUGACCUCGGAUCAGGUAGGGAUACCCGCUGAACUUAAGCAUAUCAAUAAGCGGAGGA
rnacentral:misc_RNA from 1 species